CAAUAGCGUAUAUUUAAGUUGUUGCAGUUAAAAAGCUCGUAGUUGGAUUUCGGAUGGGAUUUGCCGGUCCGUCGUUACGAUGUGCACUGGCCAGUCCUAUCUUGUUGUCGGGGACUAGCUCCUUGGAUUCACUUCCUGGGACUAGGAGCUGACGAGGUUACUUUGAGUAAAUUAGAGUGUUCAAAGCAAGCCUACGCUCUGAAUACAUUAGCAUGGAAUAACACGAUAGGACUCUGGCUUAUCUUGUUGGUCUGUGAGACCAGAGUAAUGAUUAAGAGGGACAGUCGGGGACAUUCGUAUUUCAUUGUCAGAGGUGAAAUUCUUGGAUCUAUGAAAGACGAACUUCUGCGAAAGCAUUUGUCAAGGAUGUUUNCAUUAA
rnacentral:rRNA from 1 species